rnacentral:rRNA from 1 species
CUUGCUAUGGGCGAAGCCUGAGCAGCCUGCCGCGUGAAUGACGAAGGUCUUAGGAUUGUAAAAUUCUUUCACCGGGGAAGAUAAUGACGGUACCCUGAGAAGAAGCCCCGGCUAACUUCGUGCCAGCAGCCGCGGUAAUACGAAGGGGGCUAGCGUUGCUCGGAAUUACUGGGCGUAAAGGGCGCGUAGGCGGACAGUUAAGUCAGAGGUGAAAGCCCAGGGCUCAACCUUGGAAUUGCCUUUGAUACUGGCUGUCUUGAGUUCGGGAGAGGUGAGUGGAAUGCCGAGUGUAGAGGUGAAAUUCGUAGAUAUUCGGCGGAACACCAGUGGCGAAGGCGACUCACUGGCCCGAUACUGACGCUGAGGCGCAA